rnacentral:rRNA from 1 species
AGAAGGGAGCUUGCUCCCGGAUGUUAGCGGCGGACGGGUGAGUAACACGUGGGUAACCUGCCUGUAAGACUGGGAUAACUCCGGGAAACCGGAGCUAAUACCGGAUAGUUCCUUGAACCGCAUGGUUCAAGGAUGAAAGACGGUUUCGGCUGUCACUUACAGAUGGACCCGCGGCGCAUUAGCUAGUUGGUGGGGUAAUGGCUCACCAAGGCGACGAUGCGUAGCCGACCUGAGAGGGUGAUCGGCCACACUGGGACUGAGACACGGCCCAGACUCCUACGGGAGGCAGCAGUAGGGAAUCUUCCGCAAUGGACGAAAGUCUGACGGAGCAACGCCGCGUGAGUGAUGAAGGUUUUCGGAUCGUAAAGCUCUGUUGUUAGGGAAGAACAAGUGCGAGAGUAACUGCUCGCACCUUGACGGUACCUAACCAGAAAGCCACGGCUAACUACGUGCCAGCAGCCGCGGUAAUACGUAGGUGGCAAGCGUUGUCCGGAAUUAUUGGGCGUAAAGGGCUCGCAGGCGGUUUCUUAAGUCUGAUGUGAAAGCCCCCGGCUCAACCGGGGAGGGUCAUUGGAAACUGGGAAACUUGAGUGCAGAAGAGGAGAGUGGAAUUCCACGUGUAGCGGUGAAAUGCGUAGAGAUGUGGAGGAACACCAGUGGCGAAGGCGACUCUCUGGUCUGUAACUGACGCUGAGGAGCGAAAGCGUGGGGAGCGAACAGGAUUAGAUACCCUGGUAGUCCACGCCGUAAACGAUGAGUGCUAAGUGUUAGGGGGUUUCCGCCCCUUAGUGCUGCAGCUAACGCAUUAAGCACUCCGCCUGGGGAGUACGGUCGCAAGACUGAAACUCAAAGGAAUUGACGGGGGCCCGCACAAGCGGUGGAGCAUGUGGUUUAAUUCGAAGCAACGCGAAGAACCUUACCAGGUCUUGACAUCCUCUGACAACCCUAGAGAUAGGGCUUUCCCUUCGGGGACAGAGUGACAGGUGGUGCAUGGUUGUCGUCAGCUCGUGUCGUGAGAUGUUGGGUUAAGUCCCGCAACGAGCGCAACCCUUGAUCUUAGUUGCCAGCAUUUAGUUGGGCACUCUAAGGUGACUGCCGGUGACAAACCGGAGGAAAGGUGGGGAUGACGUCAAAUCAUCAUGCCCCUUAUGACCUGGGCUACCNACGUGCUACAAUGGACAGAACAAAGGGCUGCGAGACCGCAAGGUUA